rnacentral:rRNA from 1 species
GCCUUGGUUGCUUAAAUAUCUGAAGGCGCCAGAUUCCGUCUGAUCUUGGAAACUAAGCAGGAUUAGCUCUGGUUAGUAUUUGGAUGGGAGACUGCCAGCUAAUACCAGCUACUGUAGGCU